UGUGGUCAGCCCACAAGGGGUAAGGAAGAUGAGCUACUACCUCUAACCAUUAUAUCUAUCUCCUUGGAAGGACCAAAGACCCACUCAUCAUCCCCAGAAAAUGCAAUAACUCAAGGAAAAGAAACGAUUCCCGCUUAACCAAAGGAAUGUUUCUGACCACCACAUAUGCAGGAGCCUUGGUUGACACAGGGUUUAAGGGAAGUUUCCAAGACAGAAGACAUCCUGAAUGAUUCUAAGGGUGGGCACAGCUUACUCCACUUCAUGAAGACACAAGGUAAGCAACU